GGAUUGGGGGGGUAUUUAAUCCGUUCUUUGAUUUUGUUGAUUUUUAUUGUGGGUGUAUGGAGAUUUAGUUGUCUGAUUUAUAAAUCUAGGGUUUUGAUGGAGGGGAAAUAUUGUGAGUGGGGAUUGGUAAAUUGAUGAAGGUGUUUAUGAGGUUGUUCUUUACCUGAAUUGGUUUCAAUUUGGAUAUGUAUAUAUUCAACCACCCACCAGAAA
rnacentral:misc_RNA from 1 species